GUGUCAGCAGCCGCGGUAAUACGGAGGGUGCAAGCGUUGUUCGGAAUUAUUGGGCGUAAAGCGCGUGUAGGCGGAUAGAUAAGUCAGGCGUGAAAUCCCUUGACUCAAUCAAGGAACUGCACUUGAAACUAUUUAUCUCGAGUACGAUAGGGGAGGGUGGAAUUCCCAGUGUAGAGGUGAAAUUCAUAGAUAUUGGGAGGAACACCAGUGGCGAAGGCGACCCUCUGGAUCGAUACUGACGCUGAGACGCGAAAGCGUGGGUAGCAAACAGGAUUAGAUACCCUGGUAGUCCACGCUGUAAACGAUGUGCACUAGGUGUUGGAGGUACUUAAUCCUUCAGUGCCGCAGCUAACGCAUUAAGUGCACCGCCUGGGGAUUACGGCCGCAAGGUUAAA
rnacentral:rRNA from 1 species